CAGUAGCCGCGGUAAUACGUAGGUGGCAAACGUUGUCCGGAAUUAUUGGGCGUAAGGGGCUCGCAGGCGGUUUCUUAAGUCUGAUGUGAAAGCCCCCGGCUCAACCGGGGAGGGUCAUUGGAAACUGGGAAACUUGAGUGCGGAAGAGGAGAGUGGAAUUCCACGUGUAGCGGUGAAAUGCGUAGAGAUGUGGAGGAACACCAGUGGCGAAGGCGACUCUCUGGUCUGUAACUGACGCUGAGGAGCGAAAGCGUGGGGAGCGAACAGGAUUAGAUACCCCCGUAGUCCCUGUCUCUUAUAC
rnacentral:rRNA from 1 species